rnacentral:rRNA from 1 species
AGCGAACGCUGGCGGCAGGCCUAACACAUGCAAGUCGAACGAACUCUUCGGAGUUAGUGGCGGACGGGUGAGUACCACGUGGGAACGUGCCUUUUGGUUCGGAAUAACUCAGGGAAACUUGUGCUAAUACCGAAUGUGCCCUUCGGGGGAAAGAUUUAUCGCCAUUAGAGCGGCCCGCGUCUGAUUAGCUAGUUGGUGAGGUAACGGCUCACGAAGGCGAGGAUCAGUAGCUGGUCUGAGAGGAUGACCAGCCACACUGGGACUGAGACGCGGCCCAGACUCCUACGGGAGGCAGCAGUGGGUAAUCUUGCGAAAUGGGCGAAAGCCUGACGCAGCCAGGCCGCGAGAAUGAUGAAGGUCGUAGGAUAGUAAUAUUCUUUCACCGGGGACGAUAAUGACGGUACCCGGAGAAGAAGCCCCGGCUAACUACGUG